rnacentral:lncRNA from 1 species
CAGAGACACAGAGGAGAAGACUGAGAGGGAGACCAUGUGAAGACAGAGGCAGAGAUGAGAGUGAUGCCUCUGCACACUGGAGAAUGCUGCAUUGCCAGCAAGCACAGGAAGCUAGGAGAGAGGCAUUGAACAGAUUCUUCCUCCAAGCCUCCAGAAAAAGCAGCCCGGUAGACACCUUGAUAUCAGACUUCUGGCCUCCAGAAAAAACGUGGGGGUCCUCUCCUAUCUCGUUUUUGGUUCUCUGUUAUCUUCUCCACUGAGAAUCCACCUUUGAGAGUGAACUCUUCAAAGAAAAGGACCACAUUUUCUCCAUCAUUGGACCCAUCAUGCAGCAUCUAGUGCAAUGCCUGGCACUUAGCAGUCAUUCUUCACACUGUCUACCACUAUGAUAAAAAGUUACAUGAGUUAAGUACCACAUGGGCUACACAGACAUUGUCCUAAGAAGCCAAGGAGGAAAGGAGCUUGCCAGAGGGGGCAAGUUUUAUGAAAGAGGAUGUCUUUGCACUGUUCCCUAAUGGAUAGAUGGGAUUUUCAACAGCAGACAUUGGGAAGAUGUCAUUGAAGUCAGAAGAAUUAUAUGAAUAGAAAAUUCAAAACAUGCUCAGAGAGCAGUAAGACUUGAGACAGGAGCAAUGUAAAGUAUUGACAUAAUUUAUGUACAUAAGAAAAAGAUUUGAACUAGAGUGGAAAAGGAAAAGAGGCAGUAGAUGUAAGAAAACAAAAAUCAUCAUGUACAUCAGGCCAGCAUUGGUAGGCAGAAAAGUUGAGAAAGUCUGCUCAAAGGAAGUAAGGGUUAUUUGUGGAAAUAUCGUCUCCUAUGAAGCCUUGUAGAUCUUCCUUCCUGUCUCUCUUACUGGGUUGAACAUCCAGUAGGAUUUAGAACAGAGUAACCUCAGAAAAGGCUUAGACCCUUCAAGAAAUUAGAUUUUAAACAUAUUUCAUUAUUCCAUCUUGUUUCAAAGAAAUUGGGCUUCUUAAUCUGCAAGAAAAGACAGAGGACUAAAUUCUGUCUUCAAACCCAUGAAGGUGAGACAAGAAGGGAAAAUGAGUAGCAAGACCAUGAGAGCAGUUUGUGUCUUGGCCGGACACUGGAGAGUGUGUGUCAGGCAACUUUUGGUAUGGCCAUCACCUAGUGUUGUUUGGCCAGAGAGGGACACCCAAGGAAACCACCUGGAAAAAGAUCAUAAUUUUGUACUUGAUACAAUUAUGGGCUUCCCAUGUAGUUUUUCUUUUUUAAGCUAUGUUUAUUUCCUGCAUAAUGGGCUUCUCAGUUCUACCUGACCAUGGCUUUUUCAACCCUAUUUGUCACCUCAACAGGAAUGUUUCCACCCGGCUUAUCCUAAACCUGAAGGCUCAUGAUGCCAAAAUAAAAAAAUGGAUUUACCUAUAUGAAGAUAAGAAUUAUCAAGACAAUGAAGCAAUGGAGUGUUUCUGGUUGAGUUGAAUGCUUGAGUUGAACGCCCAAGAUAAUAUAGUAUAGUGAUUAAGCACCUGAGUUCUACAGACAGAUGGACCUCAGUUUGCAAUCAAGUUCUGCCCACUAUUAGUUUAUGUGACCUUAACUGACAUCUCCAAACCUCAGUUUUUUUAAUCUGUACAAUGUGUACCUACCCACAAUGGAGGCAAAGUAUUCCACAGUGCCCGGCACAAUAAAAAUGCAAUUAAUGAUAAAGCUUUUUUCUCUCACGCACAGACUCUCAGUGUCUCUCAUGUAUGGUUGUCUGCCAGUUCAUUUUUGGAUUGCAAGGGUUCUCAAGAAAAGCUAGGUUUGGUCUAAAAUUCAAUCCUUUCUUCUAGAAAAUGGUCACUGGGCAUACAGACAUAGCUUUAUAUAUGACUAGGGGCU